CAAGAAGAGACGAGACUGAGAAGAUGAAGCAAUCUUCACGCGGAACAAGUCGACAGAGAACAAGGUAAAAUAUGCCGAUGGAAUUUGCUUAACACUAUUUUGGCUUUAAAACAUGAACCAACCCCCAAAAGAUAGCUCAUGAAAAGAAUAUGGUGGAUCUGAUUGCAUGGCUGUGUCAGAUCAGAACUGCUCUGCUGCAGGAGCGUAAGAUAUCCUUUUCACUGCACGACUGCAUUUACUGACUUAAUGGCACAACAAAUCCGAUUCAAGCAACAAAGUGGACAGGCCACAACAGAGAUAAACUUGGCAGAUACGAAAAACACAUUCAACAGCAAGAAAGACAGGAAGAAAAGAGGAUAAAUAAAAAAAAUGGAAAUAAAACAAGACUCAAAGAACUGAAGGUGUCUAUUGCAAGUAGCAAGCAGCAAUUGUAAUCCAGGGUGCCACAUCUGGCCCAAGAAACAACACCCAUGGUGCCAUUAAGGCGACACUCAUGUAACGCUAUCUGAAAACAACCCAAAGCAACUCAACUGGGGAGCAAACUGGGGAUACAGGGUGGCCAUCCCAUCAAAGGAGAGGGGCAAAAUAUCCUUUGCCCCCCCCCCCGGUAGGUACAAAGGCAACACCAGCCAUGGUGCCACACUGUCACUUCUUCAAACCCUCGAUGGUCAGUCCCCAAGACUGAAUACCAGACAAAAACCUCUCUACAACCAGCACUGACACUGCACGUGCAACACAACACCACAACACCAACACCACGUCCAGUGCCUCAUUGGAUGUGCAUUAGGACCCAACCAAUCCCAAUGUAACGCAAACAAUCCAAGUUCACUAAACCCCGCUUAUAUGUCAAAAGAGAGAGAAAAAAAAACCAGAGAUACUUUGUGUCACACUUCAUCAAUGUGACAAAAUGUGACAUGAAAGGACAUAGCAGAGAGUAUUCCUCAAGGAAGCUUAUAGAUCCUUCAGUAAUUGAAGCAAGAUGCUCAUUAUCUUCUUUCGUUCUGCUGAGAAACGAGAAAAAUCAUCGACAGUCAUCUAUUGGGGUCAAUGUCAGGGCCAGAAACUUAAAGCUAGAACUCACUCCAUGUUGGAUAGAAAUGGUUCAUUAAUAUGAAAAGUUUGACAGACAACCCUGAACAUCUUCUGCACAACAAAGUCCUCCAACAACAAGUCUUCAGUCAGAGUUCCUUGGAUCUGCUGUUGUAACAAACCUGUAAAGGAGAUCCUCCCUUCCCAGUCAGAAACAUCUAUAAUGAGUCUUAAACAUAUAGAAACUGAGAAAAUGGCAGCUCCUACAACAUCUAUUUCACUUUCAGAAUUAAUCAAAUAGUUUUUUACUGCACAGAUUUGAACUGAAUAAAGUUCAGUGAAACUGAACUAAUUAGAACUCAAUUAAGACAUGCCCAAGUGAAGUAAAAUGAAUACAACUGUAAUUAAUUUGAACUGAAGUUCAUUAAAAUUCGCUCCAUGUGGCAGGCGUUAAGAGUUAAUAAAAUAAUAAUAUAAUAACUGGCCUCUUCCCCAAGCUGGAAGGCGUGGGGCUUCCUCCCAACGUGACUGUGCACCGAAACACAAAUCAAGCCCCGAAUACAGCAGGAGCUGUUAGUCAGGUCUUCCUGUGCAACAUUAGGGUCUGACCUCACAAAUGCACUUCUAGAAAAAUGGUAAAUUCCUAUAAAAGCACUCCUAUGCUUUCUGGAAAAUCUUCCUAAUCGCUACAGCAGACAGCAAAAGCCAUAGUGCCAUUGAACACUAUGGAUUAAGACUGGGAUGCUCAGGCAUAUCGGCAAAUUACUUAAGGAAAAAGUUGCAUUUGUCAAAUUGAAGGUGGAAAAUGAAAUGACUAAGCAGCACAGCUCUCUUUUACUUAAGACACAAAAAUUUGGCAUCUAGUAGCGAUCAGUAAACUUUUGAGACCCGUUGUAAUAAAGAAUAAUUGAUCUACUGGAAAAAAAAAAGGUUUUUGAGCUCCACAAGAGUGUAUUAUUCUCCAUUAAAAAAGUUCACAUUCCUUAAUAACAAAUCAUGUUUUACAAAUGAAAAUAAUUCUUGUAAUUUUAAUCUACCUUUGAUGGAAUAAAAAAUAAAAUUAGAAUUACUGACCCUUGCUGUCCAGGUCAUUCUCCCUCCACUUCCCUUGUGGAACAUCAUCUGCUCCUUUUCUGCUGUGACCCAGCUUGUAUUUUCUUUUUCUGUUUUCUUUGUUUGUUUUUUUUGUUUUUUUUGCCAAAGAACCAGAGAGCAGGAUGGAGCCCAAAACAAGAAGACGGAACAAAAACACAACCGGCUAGCUUGAAACCUGUGUGAGUCAGCGAAAUAAAACUCAAAUAAACACUCCAGCGCUUGGGCUGGCUGUCAAAACAUGGAGAGCAAUUUAUCAGGGUGUAAGCUGCGGAAAAUGAGCAAGAGGCAGAGCCAGGUGAGGAUACCUGCUGGUGCAAACAGUAAUCUAUACGGCAGAUCUGAUGACCACAGACCAGACGUUGGUCGGCAGAGAAGAUCGGAUCAAGCUCAGCAAACAACAAAAAAAAAAAGAAGGGGAAUGUCUGGGAGGGUUCCAGAGGCCCUGAGGAGCCGAGAGUCUGAUCUCUGUGAGCACGCUGAAUCGGUUUCAUGCGCAGAAGUUAACCCAGGUGUUUGAACCGCAGGAAUGAUGUAACAUCUGCCAUUUCACACACAACAGAACGAAGACUGAGCUGUGAGACCUCAAACAGCUUCGGAUAAAGUUGUUAUUGCUGCGCAUUCCCCUUAUCGUGCCCUCGAUUACGGCAGUGACGCGGCGAAAACAGAUUCUGUUGUCUGCUUAAGGAUAAGGAUAAAGGAAUAGGAGAAAACUGAACCAAUAGGAGAUACAUUUCAAAAAAUAUCACUCCAAGCAAGACUACAGUUACAAGUAAAUCUUUGAUAUGUGUGAAAUCGAAAAAAAAAAAAACAACUAAAACUUCACUGAUGCCCUGAGAUUUAAUAUCCUAAAAAUCGACAGUUUGCAAAAACCGCAGGUUAGAUCCUCGCUCCAACCUGCGUCAGCGGAGUUAGUGAAACUGACCCGAACUGACGACCUACAUUUGUCUAAAUCGAUUAGACAAAGACUACGACAGAAAAGGUAUCAACAUUAAUUCUGACCAAUGGACACUCAUGCUUCCUGCAUUGAACACCAACUUCUCUUGCCUCCUAGUGCCAGUUUUUUCUUGUUUCCAAUCAGCUUCGUGCACACCGGCUAAAAACCACAUCCAUCGGUUUGCGAACCGGCUAAAUUAUUAGUCGAGUUAUUCAGUAACUAUUUCAAAAGGAAUCAUUUAAGGGAUAGUUUAUACUGGUGAGCAUCCAUCUCCCCUUUAACUUGCCUGUUAAAGGGAUGUUUUCCUUUCUACUGUUUCCACGUGCAUGGUGAUUAUGAUGCAAAAUGAAUGCCAUAAUAAACUGAACUUGACUCCACUGUUUCAUAGAUAAGCUCAAAUUGGAAUAUAUGCAAUUAAGAUUAAAUCAGCCCGAUAUGAUCUAACGCAUUUGAACAUAUAUAUCUGUAUAUAAACUGGAAACAUUUGUGUUGCAAAGUGCCUCUUCCUGACUUUUUAUUUCCUUUAAACUUCAAGAAACCUAGGAGAGAAGUAUUUCUAAAUAUAAGAAGUAUUCCGAAUUCUAAGUCGAGUUGGUUGGACGAAUUUGCGUUCUCGCUUUUUUUGUUUGUUUUGUUUUGUUUUGUUUUGUGGGUUUUCUGCUUCAUUUAUCUCCCUGUCUAAACAGGAAUUAUUCAGCUAUUUCUCUCCACUACAUUUGUCUGACAGCUCUGGGUAAAAAUUACUCUUCAAAUUACAGUUUCUCUGUCCAAGCAGGCUCUGCGUCUCUACGUGUGGCCAAUUCAAAUUUGAUUCUGCUUGUUAAAGAAUUUCCACUUGGAAAUGACUCUUCUUUCCUCCUAAACUGCACUGACCGUUACUGGGAUCAGUCAGGGGAAAAAAAUAAGCAUUUUGCCAAAGUAUG